UACGGAGGGUGCAAGCGUUGUCCGGAAUCACUGGGCGUAAAGGGCGCGUAGGCGGCUCAUGAAGGCUGUGGUGAAAGUCCGGGGCUCAACCUCGGAUCGGCCGUGGCGACUCGUGGGCUGGAGCACUGUAGAGGCGGGUGGAAUUCCGGGUGUAGCGGUGGAAUGCGUAGAGAUCCGGAAGAACACCAAUGGCGAAGGCAGCUCACUGGGACGUUACUGACGCUGAGACGCGAAAGCGUGGGGAGCAAACAGG
rnacentral:rRNA from 1 species